GUCUAUGGCCAUAUACCACACUGAAUGUGUCUGAUCACUGAAGUUAAGCAGGAUGAGGCCUAGUUAGUACUUGGAUGGGAGACCACCUGGGACUACCAAGUGUUGCUGGCU
rnacentral:rRNA from 1 species